GAUGAAGAACGCAGCGAAAUGCGAUAAGUAAUGCGAAUUUCAGAAUUUCCGUGAGUCAUCGAAUCUUUGAACGCACAUUGCGCCCACUGGUAUUCCGGUGGGCAUGCCUGUUCGAGCGUCAUUAUCCUCCCUCAAACCCCGGGUUUGGUGUUGGACCCAAGUUGUGUGAACAACUGGUCUCAAAGACAAUGACGGCGUCCGUGGGACCCUCGGUGCAACGAGCUUUUAGGAGCACGCAUCGAGUUGCAAGGACCUUCCGGGCCGGUCUCCUUUACCAUUUUACAAGGUUGACCUCGGAUCAGGUAGGAAUACCCGCUGAACUUAAGCAUAUCAAUAAGCGGAGGA
rnacentral:misc_RNA from 1 species